GUUAGCUACUGGUAUAACUAUCAACAUGCUGUUUCCUUUAUUCACAGAACUACAUGUUAGAUCUGUGGGAAAGAACUAUAAGACAAAG
rnacentral:snoRNA from 1 species